rnacentral:rRNA from 1 species
AAGUAAUUGCGAAUGAAUGGGAAUUUGUUCAAUCUGACAAGUGGGGCUUAAAGCCUUGGCAUGUAGUGUAAAACUGCAUUUCCAAUGGGGGGUUAAAUGGAUCCUCCUGGAACAAAGCACCAAUAAGGGUGACAUCCCUGUUUGCCAUUUAUUAACCCUUGUGUACUGCAUGCAUUUGCUGAAUCACGCUUUGGGGGAAUGAAUUGCAAAGUGGGUGGUAAGUUCCAUCCAAAAAUUUAUAUAACCUUGAGACUGAUAGUGCACAAGUACCUUGAGGGAAAAUUGAAAAGGACUUUGAAAAGAAAAUUAAAAGAACCCGAAAUUGCUGAAUUGAAAGCCAGCCAAACUUCCUUACCUUUUGUAGAACGCCGUUGUUUUGUUCCCCCACCGCCUCCAUUGGGGUUGUUCCAACCCCAUUGUUCCUCCUAAUUCCUUGCCCAUGCCCAAUUCCAAAAUUUCCUUUAAUGGCCGUUUGAACCCUUUCCUGGGGGGUAAAUUUUGUUACCUUUGGUGAUUUAUGAAUUAGGAAGGAUUUGUUUAGGUGGUGGGUGUUGGGUUUUGUUGGUAACACCUGUGUCCCACUGCAUGGAACACAUUAAAUNCGUAUUGGCAUAAUGGUUUUGCUUGACCCGUCUUGAAACACGGACCAAGGAGUCUAACAGGUGUGCGAGUGAUUGGGAAACAUUUUUUUGCGGAGUAAACGUAUGAGCUUGUAUGAUUGCGCAAGCAGUCAACUGACUUACUGAAAUAGGUUUGAGCUGGAGUGUUGCUGUUAAGACCCGAAAGAUGGUGAACUAUAUUUGAAAAGGGCAAGGUCAGGGGAAACUCUGAUGGAGGCUCAUAGCGAUACUGACGUGCAAAUCGUUCGUCAUACUUGGGUAUAGGGGCGAAAGACUAAUCGAACCAUCUAGUAGCUGGUUCCCUCCGAAGUUUCCCUCAGGAUAGCUGGAAU